AAUGGAUUCUACUCGCGCAGUUUACUUAGUUUAGUCCAAAAACGUUUUUGUUAAUUAAGAAAAGAAGCCCAAUACAAAGACAUCACAUCCCCUUUCACUGAUCAGGUAUAUAAUUUAGUACGAAUAGUAGUACGAAUUAUAAGGAUAUUCACAGUAUAAUAUGCGCCUAAAAUUAAAAAAAAUCAACCUACUGCGUUCUAAAAACAAGACAUGAGGCAUUUUUCUUCAGUUUAAGUGGAAUAGUAG